GAUUCUGCUAAGAAUCCUAAACCGUUAGUCAUCUAAUAAUGAACUUAAUAAAACAAACAGAGAAUUUUCCUUCAAUUCAANGCUUUAUUUCACAAAAAUGAUAAGAGAAAAUAAGAGAUGUCAUUUCAAGUCCUACCGCAUUACCAAUUUCAUUGUCAUCCUUGGAGAAGACGUCUUGUUUGUCAGUGAGCAUUGACUUGACUCUGUCUUCCUGGUCAGCGGUCAAGCCCUGAAGGUCGAUUUUUUUAAGGUGCUCAGGUAUUGUACCGCAAGUACAAAGAGGUUUCUCCUUCGGAAGCACUUACUUCGUUGCAGACUGUGGUGCUGAUUUGUAGGUGACAUCUACCGGUGUCACUGACUGGACCAUCUGGAGCUGUCCCAUGAUUGUCCNUCCUCUUAUGGUGACGUCAUGAUUGGUGGAGUUAUGUACGGUUAUGUCGACGAGACUCGACUUCNCCCGUCUUUUGCCAACUACUACCAGCGAUGCGAUAGCUUCGACGCCGUCAGGUAAGCACUGUAUUUCAUCGGGUUCGAAAAUAACANGGGUAGAGUUGUGGAUUGUGCCUGUGUUUUCACGGCAUGGUACACNAAUANUAGACCCCUUCCAUUCUUAAUCACUAAAUCUUGCUUAUUCGUUUUGACUUCACACAUGUAAUCUGAAUUUGCACUUUGAAUUAAUCUAACAANCGCGUCCGCGUCCUUGAUGUUGGGAAAUGCCUGCUUCACGUAUCCAGUACGAAUUGAGUCAUCAUCGCUUGAAGUAAUCACUUCUUCUAUGACGUUAUAGCCAAUAAGAGGUCNAUCAAGUUCAUCAUUCGUAAUCAGAAAUGGUACAUUGAGUUCAAUACCCGUAGUAGACAGUUUUACAUUUAUUUCUACCCAUCCCUUAUAUUGUAUAGGAGUGCCAUUGGCAGCGCUAAGACACAGAUUGGGGGUGUCUANGAGUUCUGCUANNUCNCGUAUUUUAUAAGAAGUGCCCUUUAGUAUUCCUUCAGAAAUAAUCGAAACUUGGGCGCCCGUGUCCCACAAGGCUUCAACCUCCUUUCCGUUGAAGUAGCAUUUCACUAUACAUUUCUUAGAGGUAUAACACAUGCUUGGCAGAUUUGAAUGUUUGUACAUUGAUUAUNAAAAAGUGCCUUCAUAUUAUCUCCAGUUUUGCCCGUCUUGGGANCAUAAUAGACAGCACAAGGAAUACUACUUAUUGUCUAUUGUUGUUGUAGACGAAACAAAAUCUUCUGUCACUAUGUGCUUAUUAAGAAACUGAGGACUAGGAUCCGGGGUUUUGCGCACACAAGGAUCAACUUCAAAAUCAAGACCAAUAUUUUGUUUUGUUCAUGGAUCAAAUUGUAUGGAGGGUGUCAAAGCUGUACCUUAAGUAAGCUAAAGCUCACAGAGUUAUUUUAGCGAUAUCAUUGUCAAUCAAUGGCUGGACCUUAGAGUUGCUUUCCACCGAAGUAAACUUCAAAAACGUUUUUAUCAAUGUUUUAAUGACUUUUCAAUGAUUUUGUCGUAUAUCCUGCUUGGUAUUUCAUGNAGGUUUCGCCAGAAGGACCCCCAAAAUUCAUGUAACUAUUAUCUGUGUUUUGGACGCAGCCUCUUCCUUGACCAGUAUACAUUGUAUACUGUUGUAGUUGUGGUCGUAUAGCGAGCCACGCUUUAAGUAGCUCACGGUGGUACGUUGGUAUGUUGUUAGCUAUGUGUUGUAUACCGUGUAGUUUGUUAGGAGCGUGUGCACUACUAGGUUGUCGGUACGUGUCUGUAGAAAAUGUUCAACAAAAGCUUUCCAGUGUGCAUCGGUUGGUUCCAGUGGUCGUUUCAGCNUAUUAAUACGUAAAGCGGUUAUUUUGUCAUUCAUAGCGUGAAUGUUGAAGACGCCGGAGCUUUUCGGUUGACUGAGCGAGUGUUUGUUAACGAGAUGAGNUUUAUUAGANCAGAAGAAGUUAUAUAUUAUGGUUUCUACCUCGCGUAUCGCNCAGCUAGGGAUAGGAAAGGAAGUAGCGUGGUACCAUAGAACCGAAGUUAGUAAUCCGUUCAUCACAAGGGUUUUCCCUGUGAAACUUAGGUCACGCGACUGCCAUGCUGUACACGUGUUGCGUAUCUUGUUGAUGCGCGGUGUUAUGUUUCUUUGUGUACAGUCAANGUUGCCGAAGUAAAAACCAAGUAUUUUUUCGGGUAUGUAGUCAUUGGACCAGUUGAAAUGUAUAUUGUCUGUUCGGUGCUGGAGAGAACCAGACCAAAGGCCCCUGCACUUUGAUCNAUUUAUUCUCGCACNGGAAGCACGUUCGUAUGCGUUGAAUAUCUUGAAUGCCUCAUUUAUUGANUGUUNAUUUGACAGUAGCAGUGUCGUGUCGUCAGCGUACUGAGUGAGUUUCACUUGUUUGCCGUUCGGCGUCUGAAAACCGCAUAUGUGUUCGUUUUNUCGUAUGCGGGUUGCGAGUAUUUCAGCCGUCAGUACGUAGAGUGGCGCGNAGAGCGCGCACCCUUGUCGGAGUCCAUGUUGUAGGUCAACAAAAGCCGUGAACCAACCAUUGACCUUGACUGUACUUGUUGUGCUAGUGUAUAGCGUUUGGAUUCAUCGGAUGAAUUGUGGGCCGAAGCCAUACUUUGUUAGUGCUUUNAUUAGGAAGGUGUGGUCAAACCUGUCCAAAGCCUUGAGCUNGGCAACGGAAACCACNGCUAGCGCUUUGCUGUGUUCAUUUUUUUACAACGUUCGGCNAUGUAGCUGAGAGGUAAUAGGGAAUGGUGUGGAAGAAUGUCUUUCUCUCAGCAUCUAUUUUUCAGCUCUCCUUUGUGCUUUAGUCUUUCGUGCUGGUGUGCUGUCAUUGUUGAGGUUCGAUGUGGGGUUGAGCCUUGGUCGUUGUGAGUGUUGUUGUUGGUCAUCUUCAUCAGUGGAGAGUGGACGUUUGAUGGCACUGGCGUGCUCGGCCAUGUUGAUGUAGGGGUCCGUGCAGUUGUGCAUGUUUUUAUUGACGUCGGGUAGUUCUGUUGGUUCGCUGCCUGUUGUGAUGUUGUUACACAAUCGGGCGACGUGUCCCUUUUCCCCACAAUCAAAGCAUUCGACUUCAGGGCAUCGGGAGAAUGUAUGACCGUUUUCGCCACAGAGUUUGCAGGUUUUUACUUGGUUGUUGUGAAUCACUCGGCAGUAUUCCCCUGCUACUUUGAUUGAGUAGGGGAUGCUGCGAUUCAGGAGUUUUCNAUGCCAGCGAGCUUGUGGUCUUUUUUGUAUUUGAGCUUGAUGAUGUCACUUUUCAGUUUGCCGUAGGGCUCUAAGACAGCAGUGAGUUCUUCGUCAGUGAUAUAAGCCCGGAGGCCAAGGAUCGAGACCCUGGUAUAAUGUCCUGAGGGUGGGUUGCAGGGUACGUAGACAUCGCCAAGUUGUAGUCCUUCGUCUAUUAGGCGUACGGCGGCGUCGUUACUCUUAAAUUGAACGAGGUAUUCUCCAGAGGCUAGUGAACGUUUCCAUAUCAUAAAGUUGUGGGUUAUCUAGUUAUGCAAGUUUUUUGUUGGUAGAUUCUAUAUAUCAGUUUACACUUUUUUCCGAUUCUUCUUCGAUUUCAGUUCACUGAAAAUUAUCAAAUCAAAGUUUGUGCAACGUUGACUAUGUUAACAAAAAAUAAAUAUCUAAUGGAACAGUUGAAAUGCCAUCCCCUAAAACCUCUUUUGGGAUUGAAAUAAGAAAAUCCGUUCCUAACUUGCUUUUUAGUCAACAUUUGGCGGUUGACGAAAACCCUUAUUGAUUCGCACUUCGUUUCGUGCCAAGAAGUAUUGAAGUAUAUAACUUUUGUGAUUUCAUUGCACUUCUUAUUUACUCCCUUAAACUAAACUUAUCACUACUCCCAAAACAGUAAUAAGUUUUACUGCAUAACCCUACGAUCGAUUGCCCCUCCGAUUAUACUUUAAAUACGCCUGGUGUUCUCUUAUCAUAGGCGCGAUGUUCUGUAUCCAUUCUGGGAAACAAGUUACACUUAUCUUCUUCAAACUCUUCUUACAUUUCCUCUUUAACUAAACUCUCAAUGCUUCUACAAGAAAGAGCUAUGUAAGCACUGUCAGUAUCCAUCUCACAGUAUUGAAAAUCAGAGCGAUCUACAUAUUUAUCAAUGAAAUCAUAAUAAAACUGAAGCAUUCUUAAUUUAGCAUAUUGGUAGACAAAAAAUCCUAUUUGUAUUGGUAAAUUUAAGUUAAUUUUGGUCUUUGAAGACUGUAGUGUUUACUAAUUUAGAAGCCUUUGCAUCAAGGCAAAACUUGACUUCUUGGUGAUGUUCCUCUUCGGUGAUGGUUUUUCCAUAGCUUGAGUUUCUCACCUAGAAUAUAAAAGGAUUGAAAGUAAAGAACUACAAAAAGGUAAAUCUUAGAGAUGGUCGCCUUCGUUUCUGAUGUAUUGGCUGUUAGCUUCGGUUUCCCCUCUCAGCUCACUCAUUGGUUUCUUUUUGACUCUAUUGAAAUCUUUCUGGUUUAAAUAACAUCUAUCUCCAUGCCAAUAACAGCCUUUGAUUAAAGAAAACAAAAUGUCAGUGAGUAAUCAGUGAGUAAAUGAAUAAAUAACACGAUGACAUAAUAAAAGUAGAAAUGUAAAAAAAUAAAUAAACAGAUGCAAAACCAUAAAUGGUUUAACACAAAUGAAUGAAGAAAUGAUAUAUGUAGUCAUGAUAAAUGAAACAUAUGAACGACUGACUUACAUGAACGAUCACUUACCAUGAAACUGAAACACUGUUUGAAUUGGAUCAUAGUAACCAUCUUCUGCCAGCCUUCGAUUACAGAUUCUUUUCUCUGUAUCAUUUACUUGAUGACGUAUUGGAAUACCACGACUCUCAGAUUCCCAUUCCAACCACUCAGUCGCCAACUUAACUGAACUCUCUCUUUUAAAUCCAUUCUCCUCUUUUCCCACUCAUAUGGGAAGAAACCUAAAGAGCAAAUGAAAGAAAUGGGCUUAGAAGUUAAAGAAAUUCAGAAAACGUUCGGGACUUUUGUCAUCUUUGUCAUUUUUAAGAAAGGUCGACAUCCCCUUUGAAAUCCCAAAUAUCUAGAUUUGCUUUUUUAGUUAAAGAACAAGAAAUAUAGAUAUUCCCAAACUUUGUUGUGUAUAAUCUAAGCGGUUCCAAGCCAAAUCAAAAUAAGGCUGCCAUACGAAUAUUGCUAAAAUUAUGAAUAACUGCUCCUUGUUUUGUCAAUUGACAACACAUAUUGACAGUUCCCAAGUAUCUGAAACUCUAGUUUGGAUCAAAAGGAAAGGUUUUAUGUACAAAAAUAUGACUAACAGUUUUACUUUCCCAGUCCCAUAAUGAGCCAAAAAGGACAAUGAAUGUCCAAUCGAGAGUUUUCUUGAGUAUCAUUGUUGUUUAUUGAGCGUGGGGCGCCCAUUAAGUAUGAAAACAACCAAAAAUCGGUCUUCUUAAUUCCCUCUGCCAUUUUUUAAACCUACUAGUGCAUCCUGACUUCUUCCGUUAUAUGCGUAGUGAAAUUCAGACUCAGUUAUCUCAACAUCUUGUAGGUUUUUAUUGAAACACAAGUUGUUGUACUUAGUCAAUACGUCCGACACGGUGAACGAGCGCCGGACGAUUGUUUGUUCUUUUGUUUGGCGGGUACCCCCGAUACCAUGGAUACUAUAAUUCUUUACCAAUCUCAUAAAAUCCCGGACAAAAUAGCCCGGAUUAGAGGCCAGUUUGGAAGACUGGGCUGAGGAUUCCUUUCCUGUUGCUGAAGCUGUGGAAUAGUUUGGUCAAAGAUGAGGAGGAGAUUGGGGAGGUGAAGUAUGUGGACAGAUGUGGACCUGUUGAAGUGGAGUAGAGGUAAUGCGUUUGUGUUGACGAUCAGGACAUUAGAAAUGACUGGACAGAAGGGUGAUGCUGAUAUUGGGGAUGAAGAUGAUGGUGAUAAAGGUUUUGAAAGAUUGUCUAAAGAAGAAAAGGAAAAGGUUUUGUGUUAAAGUUUUGUGUUGGAGAUAUGUUUUACCAUGAAUUUUCUUUUAUUCGUGAUGGUCUACCAAAGUCCUACCUAAUUAAACAAUGCAGAGAUAAUUUCAACAGCAUGUGCCAUCUAACUUCACAUCCUGGUUCCCAUAUUGGCUGCCAAGGCAACUCCGUUACUGAUAUUUCAAAUGAUGUUUGGCUUGAAGGAGCAACACUGGAGUAUGCCUGUGCUUGGUGCAAAACACCUAAGAGUGAGAGAUGGAAUGUAGGGAAGAAUAAAAGUAAACCUACAAAAGCCAUUAAUUUAUAAUAACAGUUGUGAACAUGAACAUUGAUUAAUAUUGAACUGGACCAUAUCAUUGUUGGCGAAGUUCAUUUAAUGUUACGAAUAACUGAUAGACUGCUGACUAAUUUAAUUAAUCAUGCUUUGGACUGGGAUGUGUGAGAGGACAGGAGAGAGGUGUACAUUUGAAGAGAACAGUUGAAUUUUCAAGAUAACUGGGUAUUUCUUUUAAUGUUUAGGAAGUGAAAAAUGCAGAUGGGACAAGAUCAAGUGGGAGGUAUGACUGGACAAGUCAGGUGGGGGAUGAUAUAAAGAAACUGUUGUAAAGAUUGACAGACAAAGCAGGUGCACUGCAGCUCUUUCAGAUGCCAGAGACUCCUAGGCAAGAACUUAAAGUCAUUAGAGAUGAACUUAUGCAACAAACUCCUGAGGCCAUGCACACAAUGUAUGAAAGACAAUCUGCUGAUGAAGCAAAGAAAAAGUACACAGAAAGAAAAGCAAUGGGGAGAAAAAUAUUGUUCCACCAACAUGCACAGAGGCAGAGGUACAAGAAAUGUUGGCAGGUGCAUCUGCUGCACCACAAAGAAGACAACGGAAUCCAAACAGAGCUGCACCAAUCUGCAGAACAUGUAAAAAGACGAAACGGGGACACCCAAGGAUAUGCCCAGACAAAGAAACUGAAUAAAAAACAUGAAAUGUUCAAAAAUAUAUAAAAGAAAAGAGUUUUGACUAAAUUUUCUUCCAAGUUUACAAUGUUUGGUAUACUAGUAUUUGACCCUAGUACAAUUAGUUAUUACAAUAUUGAAUACAUCAAGAAAAUAAACUUCUAUUAAUUCUAUUAUUAUAUUUACAACACAUGUUCAUCUCAGUCUUCAGUUUCUUCUAUAGCAUCUUCCUCUUCUUGAAAUCCUUUAUAAUUUCCAUCCUGGCUCGGAAAUUCUGUCCUGAUUGCAUUAUAGAUGUAAGAUGGCAGCGGUUUCCUCGCAUCCUUUCCCAUAUAUCCCCAUAUAAACCGAAAGACUUGACGGUAUGCAACAGAUCGAAGAAACCUAAACACACACAAAAAUAAAAUUAAGUACUUUAGUAAAAUACACACUUUAUAGUUGUUGAUAUACAUGUGGGUAUGCAUCGAUCUAAUAAUAUUAAUUUUGGAAAUUCUAGCUAUAGUUUUAAGAUGGAUGUGUAAGAGGCAUGUACAUGUACAGUAUGUUUCUAGCUAGAAUAUAUAAAAGAUGUUAUUUGAGUUUUGAAAACUAUCAGCAGCAUAUCAUACUAGCAUUUCAAAGGCUGCAAACUGACUGUGACUCAGACUUGUUCUCAUUUUUAUACAGUGUAACAUAACUCUUUUUGUUUUUUGUCUUGAGGCCGAUAGCAGCAACUUCCAACACAUAUUUGUCCAGACAGACAUUUCGAAAUCCUGGAUGGUCCCUAAUGCAUGCUUUAUCGUCAAGCUCAGCUUCUUCAAUUUUAUCGAUGCAUCUCAGCAUCUCGUGGCAACAAAUGCAUUCCUCUGGUUUGAAGACCAGGCUGAGAGAGCAAUUUGAGCAGGAACACCUGAAGACAAAUUAUUACUCCGUUAGUAUUUGGAUUGCAUGAAAUAAUAUGAAGACAUGACUAUAUAUAUUCGCUGUUUAAAGCUAAACAAACGUAACAACUUCUUUCUUGAUCAAUCGAUAAACAAUUCUCAUAGCUGUUAUUGUUAUGUUCAAUCUUUGGCGUCAUAUCUUGAAAGCGUCGCUCUUAAAUGACUGUUUUCCUACAUCAGAAUAUUUUAUCGCAAUGCUCUUUGUGCAAAACGACUUACCAGCUUUGAACGUUAACUUUAUUUGAGAAUCUCUUCCUGAAUUCUUCUUCGUCCUCCUCUAAGGCUACUUGUUCGAGGUACUCCGAUACUUCUUCUUCGUUGGCAAUGGGCUCCAAACUAUCGUCGUACACGUUUGCUACUUGUUGAUCUCCAUUUUCUUGAGGCAGUUCGCAUGUCGAUAGGUACGACGAGUCGGAAGAUAAGCUUGAAGACAAUUCACUUUCACUAGAGGACAUUUUGAAAGAUUUCCUAACUACAAUUGUAGCGUGGAGAACGUGUAGAACUACUGUAAACUAAACAAGGCUACCAGGCGAGCUUGGUAAGAUGACGUCACGCCAGAAUACCGCUGUACUAAAAAUUUUAUUCGAGUCAUCCGGCUCAAGUGAGGAAAUACGCUCUUUAAAAAUAAUAUAAUUCGAUAACCCUUUACCAAAAAAGGACAAUUUUUGGUACACUUAGAGUUUAGAUAACAUAGAAUCAGACAAAAUUUAAAAAAUGCUGUUCAACUUUGUCAAAAUUCAGUCCAAGUCCACCUUUAAAGCACAAUUUGUAUAUACUUUUGAAAUACUAACACUUUCAAUUUUUUAGCAAUGUUGGUUGGUCACAAGAAAUAACUUAUUUAUAUUAUAUUUAUUAAAAUCAUUUAUGAAAGUAUAAUUAUAGUAUAAUCUUUUGAU
rnacentral:lncRNA from 1 species